rnacentral:rRNA from 1 species
UACGUAGGGUGCAAGCGUUAAUCGGAAUUACUGGGCGUAAAGCGUGCGCAGGCGGUUUUGUAAGUCUGACGUGAAAUCCCCGGGCUCAACCUGGGAAUUGCGUUGGAGACUGCAAGGCUAGAAUCUGGCAGAGGAGGGUAGAAUUCCACGUGUAGCAGUGAAAUGCGUAGAGAUGUGGAGGAACACCGAUGGCGAAGGCAGCCCCCUGGGUCAAGAUUGACGCUCAUGCACGAAAGCGUGGGGAGCAAACAGG